CCCACCUCAGCCUCCCAAAGUGCUGGGAUUAUAGGCAGGAGCCACCACACCUUGCCCCAACUUUGUGAAUAGAAUGUACUGGCUGAAUAGGAAGGAACAAUGUCUUUUUUUAUUCCAGCUGCUGCUUGCCUCUUCCUUUUCAUGCUACCAAAGCGGAGUUCAGCACAACAGAAACAGAUGGACAGAAAGUUUCAGAAGACAUGGGAUUUUAAAAACCACCGAUCUGUUAGGAAACAGCCUUGUUUCCUCAUUUCCACGGAAGUAAGGGUUUAUUGGAAUCUAUGGACACCACAGAAAACCACCACUCCUGGUACUGCUGCCCUCUGUCUGUGUCCAAAGAAAUGGAUUUCAGCAAUACUGUUCUGCAGGAUGACCAAGUGAACACUGCAAUUACUGGGAGGUUUUAUAGACACCAUAAAAUUGUAAAACUGCAGAGGUGAUUUCAGUAAUUUAUUGCUGGC
rnacentral:lncRNA from 1 species